rnacentral:rRNA from 1 species
AUUGAACGCUGGCGGCAGGCCUAACACAUGCAAGUCGAGCGGAUGAAGGGAGCUUGCUCCUGGAUUCAGCGGCGGACGGGCGAGUAAUGCCUAGGAAUCUGCCUGGUAGUGGGGGAUAACGUCCGGACACGGGCGCUAAUACCGCAUACGUCCUGAGGGUGAAAGUGGGGGAUCUUCGGACCUCACGCUAUCAGAUGAGCCUAGGUCGGAUUAGCUAGUUGGUGGGGUAAAGGCCUACCAAGGCGACGAUCCGUAACUGGUCUGAGAGGAUGAUCAGUCACACUGGAACUGAGACACGGUCCAGACUCCUACGGGAGGCAGCAGUGGGGAAUAUUGGACAAUGGGCGAAAGCCUGAUCCAGCCAUGCCGCGUGUGUGAAGAAGGUCUUCGGAUUGUAAAGCACUUUAAGUUGGGAAGAAGGGCAGUAAGUUAAUACCUUGCUGUUUUGACGUUACCAACAGAAUAAGCACCGGCUAACUUCGUG